GGGCUAUUAGUAUAUCGGUAUUAUGCCUGCCCUGGACGCAGGCGAGCCAGGUUCGACUCCUGGAUAGCCCU
rnacentral:tRNA from 1 species